rnacentral:rRNA from 1 species
AGAAUCAACGCUGGCGGCGUGCCUAACACAUGCAAGUCGAACGAGAAAGUGGAGCAAUCCAUGAGUAAAGUGGCGACCGGGUGAGUAACACGUGACUAACCUACCCUCGAGUGGGGAAUAACUCCGGGAAACCGGGGCUAAUACCGCAUAACAUCUUCGGAACGCGAGUUCUGUUGAUCAAAGGAGCAAUUCGCUUGAGGAGGGAGUCGCGGCUGAUUAGCUAGUUGGCGGGGUAAUGGCCCACCAAGGCUUAGAUCGGUAGCCGGCCUGAGAGGGGCGCGACGGACCGACGACCUGGAACGUGAAACACGGUCCAGACUCCUACGGGAGGCAGCAGUGGGGAAUUUUGCGCAAUGGGGGAAACCCUGACGCAGCAACGCCGCGUGGAGGAUGAAGUCCCUUGGGACGUAAACUCCUUUCGACCCGGACGAUAAUGACUGUACGGGUGGAAGAAGCCCGGCUAACUUCGUGCCAGCAGCCGC